CCGACAGGGGUCCGUAAAGUUUACAUCCUACUUUACGUUAGCCCAUUAAAGAAGAAGAAGUAUUGCAUUUAUUUUCGAGAUUAAUAAAUAUCGCUGAUUUGGAUAGCAUCGUUAUCACAGAAGGAUGCUAUCUUCCAGGUUCUGCUUCUCCAGGACUACCUGACCCACAUGCGGCUCUACUUCUUCACCAGGAGGCAGUGGGACACAACCAAAUCCCAAAAGACCGGAAUCCUUUUGUUGGUCAACUUGUGCUGCUUGGACUCCUUCACUGCCAUCCAUCUCAAGAAUGUAAUUCUCACAGAAGAGGAGAGGUGAUAGACCCAACUGCAACCACAGCACAAGUGCAACUCCACUGACUCUCCGUUGACCUCCAGCAACACCUCGCCAUCCCGCAUUCCCGCCUUCUCUGCUGGGCUGCCAGCGUCCACCUUUCGCAGCACAUGAGCUGUGGUUGGUGGAGACACAAAGACAAGAAUGGAACACCUGUGUUCAGGUGACGCACACUUGAAAUAAGACCUCACAUGUGCGUCCAGAUGGCGCCUUCUCAAAUCGAAGUAGAAAACCGUAACCUUCGGGUCCAGAAAGCAAGUGUAGUUUUCUGGAGCUGUAGGGCAGCUUAUGUGGAACGGCCAUACAUGGAAGAAUAGGCAUCUUUAACUUGGAGUACUUCUUCUCACUCUCGCUGUCCAUCACUAAGACGGUGAUGGAAGUGCAUUUUUUCAUCUACAACAACAUAACAUACACAUUUUUGUUUAUUUAUAUAUACUUUAUGUAUACUUCAAACACAAAACAUACAAAGAAGCUAAUUGUGAUUUAAAAAGAGGGACUGACAUUUGAGUGUGGGUUUGUUUUCAAUGAUUUUGUUGUGGAAUCCAGUUAGGGCCUAAUUUACUCAGAUCCAAAUACCACGCGCUAAACAGCGUUCACAAGCUAUAAAAUUGUGGAUGAGAAUUGAAAAAAAAAAUGUCCGGUUCCGAUUCCAGUUUUGAUUCUGCUUAACGAUUUGGCUCCCCUUAUUGAUGCUUGUUUUGAAAAAAAAAAAAAAAGGGAAUUAACAGCAAUUUUGUCUAGUUUAGAGGUAA